rnacentral:lncRNA from 13 species
GUUUAUUAAAGCGCAAGGUGGUGGGUGGAGGGCUCUGGAGUGUUUGAAUCCAGUUAGGACCCCCACUGCUGUAAAUUGAGACGUGUGAACUGCCUGCCGAAAGAGGAGCUGGCGUUUUCCUGGCUGGGCUCCAGGGGACAGGCUGUCAUCAGCUUCAGUGAACGAUCCCAGCUCCUUUCCCUUUGCUGGCUUCGUACUUAUUUUAGUCUGUUCUGCGUGCAUUUCGUAAAUAAGGUUCAAUCAAGGAGUGACCUGGCUUCUGCCUCAGCAAACAAAGCCUGGGUGACAUCGAGACUCUGUGUUAAAAAAAAAAAAUUGGAUUUUUUAAAUGAGGAGAUUGACUGUAAAUGGCAACUUCACAGACCGUCCUGAGUUGCACAUUGAAGCGAAGCCAGCAGUCCUGGGAUUUACAAUCAUAACCUCUUGGAACUGAACUAUUAACGAAUCCAAACACGAGUAUAUUAAGUCACCAACCCUGGCUUGAGCAAUUACCGACGUCUCCUCUUCAGUCAAUAAUUCUAAAAAUGGUUUGAACUGCUGCUUCUUUAAUCAGAUCUCAAGCUUGGAGAGGCUGCGUCUCCCUUUUCCCUGAAGAUAUUGCAGGAGCCGGAGUGAGAUGUCUCCCUUACCCCCUCCGCCCCAGGAAUCAUGUGACUAGUUUGAAGUCUGAAGAUGGAGAGGCUGAAAAUUAAGUGUUAAAUGAUCAAGUUUCUUGAAAUGUGUCCAGUCUUUUAAGAAGUACCAUGUUGGCCAGGUGUGGUGGCACACACCCAUAAUCCCAGCACUUUAGGAGUCUGAGGCAAGAGGAUUGCUUGAGUCCAGGAGUUCAAGACCAGCUUGGGCAAUAGAGUGAGAAUUUAGUGCCACAAUUUUUUUUUUUUUUUAAUUAUCCAGGCAUGGUGGCGUGUGUCUGUAGUCUCAGCUACUUGGGAGGCUGAGGCUGAGGUGGGAGGAUGGCCUGAGCUUGGGAGGUCAAGGCUGCAGUGAGCUGUGAUCACGCCUCUGCACUCCAGCCUGGAUGACAGGGUGAGAAAUUGUCUUAAAAAAAAAAAAAAAGAAAGAAAAACCACGUUAUUUGAACAAGAAGAAGCAGAAGCAGCAGAGCAACAGGCAGAGUUCACCUAGAAACUGAGAUGAUAAGUGAGUUGUAAAAGAAAUACUUGUUGAAGGUAACAAGUUAAUAAGGCAGACAGACCUUGAGGGCAGGAUUUGUUCUGAUCCAGGUCACGGUGCAGUGAAUACUGGUCCUGACUCUGAAUGUAUGAGCCUGGCCUGGCACAUCUCCCUUCUGAGUCAGGCUGCUCUUGAUCAGUGGCUGCUGAAGAGUCAGGGCGGGGGUUGGAGGUGAUGGAUGCAC